GACGAACGCUGGCGGCGUGCUUAACACAUGCAAGUCGAACGGAAAGGCCCUGCUUUUGUGGGGUGCUCGAUUGGCGAACGGGUGAGUAACACGUGUGUAACCUGCCCUUGACUUUGGGAUAACUUCUGGUAACUGGGGCUAAUACCGGAUAGGAUCUCCUGCUGCUUGGUGGGGGUUGGAUAGUUUCGGCGGUUGGGGAUGGACUCGCGGCUUAUCAGCUUGUUUGUGGGGUAGUGGCUUACCAAGGCUUUGACGGGUAGCCGGCCUGAGAGGGUGACCGGCCACAAUGGGACUGAGAUACGGCCCAGACUCCUACGGGAGGCAGCAGUGGGGAAUAUUGCACAAUGGGCGGAAGCAUGAUGCAGCAAAGCCGCGUGCGGGAUGACGGCCUUCGGGUUGUAAACCGCUUUCGCAUGUGACGAAGCGUGAGUGACGGUAAUGGGUAAAGAAGCACCGGCUAACUACGUG
rnacentral:rRNA from 1 species